rnacentral:ncRNA from 1 species
ACGAAAAAAAUAUUCCCCAUAUAAUUUUAAGAAUAUGGCUUGAAAGUUUCUACGUUGCACCGUAAAUGCUACGACUAUGGGGGAGGAUGAUGU